UGAUGAUGAUGGUGGUAAUGAUGAUGGUGAUCGUCACAAUGGUAGUUAAUGUGAUGAUGAUGAUGGUAGUUGUACCAUCAUCAUCAUCACAUUAA